rnacentral:rRNA from 1 species
GACGAACGCUGGCGGCGUGCCUAAUACAUGCAAGUAGGACGCAGUUGCGAACGGGUGAGUAAAGCGUAGGUAACUACCUAUUAGAGGGGGAUAACUAUUGGAAACGAUAGCUAAUACCGCAUACUAGUAGAUGGACCUUCGUUUUAUUAGCUAGUAGGUAGGGUAAUGGCCUACCUAGGCAACGAUACAUAGCCGAGCUGAUAGGGGGAUGGGCCAAACUGGUACGGUGACACGGCCCAGACUCCUACGGGAGGCAGCAGUAGGGAAUCUUCUGAAAUUGUGGGAACCCUGACCGAGCAACGACGCGUGAGUGAAGAAGGUUUUCGGAUCGUAAAGCUCUGUUGUUAAGGAAGCGGUACUUAACCAGAAAGGGACGGCUAACUACGUGCCAGCAGCCGCGGUAAUUC